rnacentral:tRNA from 1 species
CAGGGAGACAACAAAAUGUUAAAUAUUAAUUUUGUCCCUUAGGUCGAUCGGUAUCUCACAUUCUUAAUUUAUUAAGGAUUUCACUUCCUAAGUUUUUUCUAGGUCACACCCAUUACUUUUCCUGGGCCAUUAGCUCAGGUGGUUAGAGCGCACCCCUGAUAAGGGUGAGGUCCCUGGUUCAAGUCCAGGAUGGCCCAUAUCUCUAUGUUGGGGGUAUAGCUCAGUUGGUAGAGCGCCUGCUUUGCAAGCAGGAUGUCAGCGGUUCGAGUCCGCUUACCUCCACUGAUCACCACCUCUUCAUAAUUUAUAGAAGGGAAUUGUUUUGAGUUGUGAUCAAAUUCUGAACGAAUCAGCUUCCUAUAAAACUUAUAAGAUGCUGGACUCAUUGAAUAUUUCAUUGUUUUCAGAGAACCUUGACAACUGCAUAGAUUAUUUUUAAAGACAAUAAGCAUCUUUAAUGAUGCAGAUUUAUUAUUUGUGCGAAUGCAUUAAAUAACAAUUCUAUUAAGCUGAUGCUUCAA